rnacentral:rRNA from 1 species
UACGAAGGGUGCAAGCGUUACUCGGAAUUACUGGGCGUAAAGCGUGCGUAGGUGGUUCGUUAAGUCUGAUGUGAAAGCCCUGGGCUCAACCUGGGAAUUGCAUUGGAUACUGGCGGGCUAGAGUGCGGUAGAGGAUGGCGGAAUUCCCGGUGUAGCAGUGAAAUGCGUAGAGAUCGGGAGGAACAUCCGUGGCGAAGGCGGCCAUCUGGGACAACACUGACGCUGAAGCACGAAAGCGUGGGGAGCAAACAGG